GUGCCAGCAGCCGCGGCAAUACGAAGGGACUAGCGUUGUUCGGAAUCACUGGGCGUAAAGCGCACGUAGGUGGAUUUGUAAGUCAGGGGUGAAAUCCCGGGGCUCAACCUCGGAACUGCCUUUGAUACUGCAAGUCUUGAGUCCGAUAGAGGUGGGUGGAAUUCCUAGUGUAGAGGUGAAAUUCGUAGAUAUUAGGAAGAACACCGGUGGCGAAGGCGGCCCACUGGAUCGGUACUGACACUGAGGUGCGAAAGCGUGGGAGCAAACAGGAUUAGAUACCCUGGUAGUCCACGCCGUAAACGAUGGAUGCUAGCCGUCGGAUAGCUUGCUAUUCGGUGCGCAGCUAACGCAUUAAGCAUCCCGCUGGGGACUACGGCCGCAAA
rnacentral:rRNA from 1 species